rnacentral:sRNA from 1 species
UUGUGCUAAUUGAGGACAUAUAAAAUGCACAUGACAAUCUAUGGCUCCUGCUGUUACAAUCAUUCCUUCUCCAGCAAUAACCUCAGUAUUUACCUGACCACAAAGAUCAACAAAAUAAAUAAGUGUUCAAUUGAAAGAUUUUUGUACCUGCAACACAACCACCAUUAUGAUACACUGGACUCACUCCAACAAUCAUGUCGUGAGGUACUUCAUCCAUGACAUCUGGGUUGCCAGCUUUCCCAAGGGAGGUAAUAAGACCAUUUUUUAUGCCAAUAUCUGCUUUAAAUAUUCCAGUAUAGUCAAUGAUAACAGCAUUUGUUAUGACAGUGUCCAAACAGUCACAUGAUGGAUAUGCACAACAUUGUCCCGAUCCAUCUCUCAG